GUUAGGAUCACCACUUUAUUUUAAGAAUGUGAAAUCUCAGAAUAAUAGUAGAGAGAAUGAUUGAUUGAUUUCAGCUUUUAUUUCUUUCAUCACAUUCCCAGUGGGGAUGUGUAUUUGUAUUUGGUACCAUUGCCUUUAAAUUCUUUAACUUGGGUUAAACGUUUCAGGUAGCCUUCCACAAGCUUCCCACAAUAAGUUGGGUGAAUUUUGGCCAACUCCUCCUGACGGAGCUGGUGUAACUGAGUCAGGUUUGUAGGCCUCCUUGCUUGCACACACUUUUUCAGUUCUGCCCACAAAUUUUCUAUAGGAUUGAGGUCAGGUCUUUGUGAUGGCCACUCCAAUACCUUGACUUUGUUGUCCUUAAGCCAUUUUGCCACAACUUUGGAAGUAUGCUUGGGGUCAUUGUCCAUUUGGAAGACCCAUUUGCGACCAAGCUUUAACUUCCUGACUGAUGUCUUGAGAUGUUGCUUCAAUAUAUCCACAUAAUUGUCCUUCCUCAUGAUGCCAUCUAUUUUGUGAAGUGCACCAGUCCCUACUGCAGCAAAGCGCCUCCACAACAUGAUGCUGCCACCCCCGUGUUUCACGGUUGGGAUGGUGUUCUUCAGCUUGCAAGACUCCCCCUUUUUCCUCCAAACAUAACGAUGGUCAUUAUGGCCAAACAGUUCUAUUUUUGUUUCAUCAGACCAGAGGACAUUUCUCCAAAAAGUACGAUCUUUGUCCCCAUGUGCAGUUGCAAACCGUAGUCUGGCUUUUUUUAUGGCGGUUUUGGAGCAGUGGAGCAGUUCUUCCUUGCUGAGCAGCCUUUCAGGUUAUGUUGAUAGGACUUUUUUUUACUGUGGACAUAGAUACUUUUGUACCUGUUUCCUCCAGCAUCUUCACAAGGUCCUUUGCUGUUGUUCUGGGAUUGAUAUGCACUUUUCGCACCAAAGUGCGUUCAUCUCUAGGAGACAGAACGCGUCUCCUUCCUGAGCAGUAUGACGGCUGCAUGGUCUCAUGGUGUUUAUACUUGCAUACUAUUGUUUGUACAGAUGAACAUGGUACCUUCAGGCAUUUGGAAAUUGUUCCCAAGGAUGAACCAGACUUGUGGACGUCAACAAUGUUUUUUUCUGAGGUCUUGGCUGAUUUCUUUUAAUUUUCCCAUGAUGUCAAGCAAAGAGGCACUGAAUUUGAAGGUAGGCCUUGAAAUACAUCCACAGGUACACCUCCAAUUGACUCAAAUGAUGUAAAUCAGAAGCUUCUAAAGCCAUGACAUAAUUUUCUUGAAUUUUCCAAGCUGUUUAAAGGCACAGUCAACAUAGUGUAAUUAAACUCCCGACCCACUGGAAUUGUGACACAGUGAAUUAUAAGUUUAAUCAUCUGUAAACAAUUGUUGGAAAUAUUACUUGUGUCAUGCACAAAGUAGAUGUUGUAACCGCCUUGCCAAAACUACAGUUUGUUAACAAGAAAUUUGUGGAGUGGUUGAAAAAUUAGUUUUAAUGACUCCAACCUAAGUGUAUGUAAACUUCCGACUUCAACUGUAUAUCAGUAUAUCAGUAUUAGACUCGUCUCCUAGCUUAUCCACACUCCAGUAUGAUGAGCAGUACGCCUACUCCUGGAAUCCGAAUGAGGAGACGUAACCAGGCAACCAUCCACCAAGUUUGGCAGCCCAAUAUGGGAGGUGUAGGCUGAAGUCGUGACUCACUUCACAGCUCACACCUCCCUUCGUAGCACUAGUUCUGGUAAAUACCGACUAAUAACACACAUUCGGUGGAAGUGGCAGACUGGCGGGAUUUUGAAGACCAUUAUUGGGCCAAGGAUGAUGAGUGAUACUUGACCUCAGAAGAAGAUGAAUAAAUCCCCUGUAAGAGACUGAGGUUUACAAAACGAGAUGC
rnacentral:lncRNA from 1 species